AUUGAACGCUGGCGGCAGGCCUAACACAUGCAAGUCGAGCGGAUGAAGGGAGCUUGCUCCUGGAUUCAGCGGCGGACGGGUGAGUAAUGCCUAGGAAUCUGCCUGGUAGUGGGGGAUAACGUCCGGAAACGGGCGCUAAUACCGCAUACGUCCUGAGGGAGAAAGUGGGGGAUCUUCGGACCUCACGCUAUCAGAUGAGCCUAGGUCGGAUUAGCUAGUUGGUGGGGUAAAGGCCUACCAAGGCGACGAUCCGUAACUGGUCUGAGAGGAUGAUCAGUCACACUGGAACUGAGACACGGUCCAGACUCCUACGGGAGGCAGCAGUGGGGAAUAUUGGACAAUGGGCGAAAGCCUGAUCCAGCCAUGCCGCGUGUGUGAAGAAGGUCUUCGGAUUGUAAAGCACUUUAAGUUGGGAGGAAGGGCAGUAAGUUAAGACCUUGCUGUUUUGACGUUACCGACAGAAUAAGCACCGGCUAACUUCGU
rnacentral:rRNA from 1 species